UACGAAGGGGGCUAGCGUUGUUCGGAAUCACUGGGCGUAAAGGGCGCGUAGGCGGCCGAUCAAGUCGGGGGUGAAAGCCUGUGGCUCAACCACAGAAUUGCCUUCGAUACUGUUUGGCUUGAGACCGGAAGAGGUAAGUGGAACUGCGAGUGUAGAGGUGAAAUUCGUAGAUAUUCGCAAGAACACCAGUGGCGAAGGCGGCUUACUGGUCCGGUUCUGACGCUGAGGCGCGAAAGCCAGGGGAGCGAACGGG
rnacentral:rRNA from 1 species